rnacentral:rRNA from 1 species
UACAGAGGGUGCAAGCGUUAUUCGGAAUUAUUGGGCGUAAAGGGCGCGUAGGCGGCUUGGCAAGUGGGAGGUGAAAUCCCUCGGCUUAACCGAGGAACUGCCCUCCAAACUGCUUCGCUUGAGACCGGGAGAGGUGAGUGGAAUUCCCAGUGUAGCGGUGAAAUGCGUAGAUAUUGGGAGGAACACCAGUGGCGAAGGCGGCCCACUGGACCGGAACUGACGCUGAGGCGCGAAAGCGUGGGGAGCAAACGGG